rnacentral:piRNA from 1 species
CAGAUUAAAGUUGUUUGGUUAGAGUAGC